rnacentral:lncRNA from 1 species
GAGAGAUCACAUGUCCCAGCUGAUGCGCAGAUUCUUCCCCACUGAAAUGGACGUUUCUGCCAAAGUCAAUGAGUAAAACUGACAGUGCGGAUGACUAACCUCCAGCCCAGAGCCUUUGGCAGCUCACACCUUUGUGCAAAGCACGUUACACAGAUUGGUCCCGAGGAUUCACAGACUGGUCUAAGGCUCUGGACUCCACCUUGAUUCACCAAUUUGCCUAAAAUAUGCUACAAAAGAAACUUCUGUGUUGCAGAAGGCUUCAAGGUGCUGUUCAUGUUUUCAGAAUGAUCUGCGACAAUAUCAGGUUUGAUUGUGACCAUCCUAUAUCAGAUCUCUGAAACCUUCAGGAGUUGAGGCCUGGCUAGUGCUUGGCUAGGGAUGGGCCUGUGAGGAUGACAGCGUCCCUGUUCCUGCUGUGUUCUCUGCUUCCCGUCGGCUGGGAUGUGAACAACCUCUGCUAUCCCUCUCCACCAUAAACUGUGCUACCACAGUCGCUUCCCUUCAGCGAUGGGCUCUGAAACAGUGAGGAGAAAUAAGCCUUUUCUUGGGUAACUUGUUUUCGUCUGGUGUUUGGUCACGGUCCACACAAAUUACUGAUAGACCAGCUGAGUCAAAGCCAAAGUACAUCUUAAGUAAUCCAAUCUCAGUGUGGCAUUUACUUCACAAUCUACAUUUGUUGUUAAGUUCUUCUCCAUGGUUCAUUUGAAAACUGACUCUCUCCCCCCUGCCCCCCACCAUUAUUAUACCUUUGAGGCAAGAGAAAAAGGAAUUUUCCAGUGCUGGGCCUGUGACUAGAGUCUGCAAGUGUGGGUCUCACCUCGACAUCCUCCGUAACUAUCCAGUACCCUUGGUGCCCUGGGAGGUGCGGUUUUGUUCACUGUUUAUUUUUCCUCUCGAGUGUGUAAUCACCUCAGGUAGUUAUGUUAUGGUGACAACAGAGACAUUUGUAGCUGAGCUCCUACAAGUUCCCACAGGCAGCUCUGGUGGUCAUAAAUCUUGAUGCCAUGUGACGUCUCUUUUGCAUCCAGGGACAGGAUAAUUCCACUUACCCCACCUCUGGUAAAAGGACAUUCCUGGAAGCAGCCAGCACACAGGCAUGGUCGCCAGCUUUCCUGCCCCUUCAAGGAAGAAAUUGGCUUUAAAUUAACCCCAAAUUCGUUUGUUGUAGAAAAAUCCAUUGGGCUUAGAAAUGAUCUCUUGUUUCCAAAUAUAAAUAGCAUCUAUUUAACAGAUGACUUUAUUUAUUUAUUUUAAUAUUUAAUGCCUAAUGAGCACCAAAUUGGUUAAGUUAAAAGCAACUGAGUCCUGAGAAAUGAACUCUGCCAGGCUGUGUUCUGGAGUGAGAAGCCAUUGUUCAUUGGGUGUUGUGGGUUUGUUGUUGUUGUUGUUGUUGUUGUUGUUGUUGUUAUUUACUGUGUGUUUAUCUCUGCCAAUCACAGACUGAUCUCCUCUUCCUGCCUUCCCUGCUUUUUUUCCCCUCAAAUUUGGCUUCACCCACUUUCUCUUUUAAAAAAACAUUUUUCCUAGCGACUACAUUCCAGUAUGUCACCUCAUAAAGUUCCUCUGGGUGUGCCCUUUUAAAAAAUGAAUGCUCAAAUAAGCAAACCUCUGAAGGUCACACGUACGCAGACACGUGGACACAGCAUGCACACACCCAGAAACACAGACACCCAGAGUCAGGACACUCCAAGAACCCUCAAACUAGGAAAUUUAAGAGUUCUGAGUUCUGCUCCAGUUUUGAACCAUGGUUUCCAGAGAGGUUAAAAUACCACUCUGUCCCCGCAUAAAGUAAAUGCUAAUGCUAAUAUUGCUUCAAAGGAAAGACUGUUUCUUCUUAAGUGGCUGUGCACAUUGUAACUCCGGGAGCUCUAUUCUUAGAAGAUCUAGGUGGUGUUGGGCAUAUUCUUUUAUAGAAUAAUGGGGUGUUUAUGUUACACAGUCCCAUUGUGAGAUCAAUCAGUCCCUGCCAGGGUUUAUAAACAUUGUCUGCAGGUGGUCCUGGCAGAGCAUCCCAGAAGACAACACUUUAUUGUCUGGAAACAGGCCUGCAUAGCCCAGAGCAACAGGCCCAGUGCUGUGGACAAAGCUUUGAGCUGGCCAGAAGGUAACUGAUGGAGUCACAACAAGCAAUUCUUAGCUCCUUCCCCAGGGCCUCCUGAGCAAUGGACUUCUGAGAACCAAGAACUUGAGGCCUACCAGAGAGGGAGAACUGGCCCAGCCACUCACACUCUGACAGCCUUUCUCUUUGCUUUGUAGCUCCUCCCUCCUCCCCUAAUUUUUCUUUCAGGAAGAAGGUGAAUUUUGCAGGGUUCUCUUCAGCUGUAUUUUUUCCAGUUGCAUUGGUUUGUUUGUUUGUUUUUUAAAAUAUCAAAAGUGAAUAGGGAAGUGUAGUUGUGAUGGCUUCAUAUUCUUUUUAGAUUUCCCAGAAAACACACAAGAGGUUAUUCCUUCACACUUAACCUCCAGCACCACCUGGUGAAAAUUUAAACCAGGCUACUACGUGCUAUUCAAGAAUAAAGGCAAAGCAAAUGGGGUCACAAAAAGCAUGCAUACUUAGGAGGACAGCCAUCUCUGUACCUUGCCCUCUCCUUUCCGUUUGCUCAGCACUAGCUUCAGGCCUCUUGAUCAUGUGACCUGAGAAGCAAAAGUCCUCUGAGGUUGGGACUCAGGAGAUAAUAGCGUCGAGGGCCACCUUUCCUUAAACCUCCCAGCUUACCUUCAGCUUCUCUGGUCAAGGGAGUCCUUUGUCCACCAAAGAGGUCUGUCUAGAUAGGCUCUCAAUGUCUUUCCACUUCCCAUGGUCUAUGAUUCCGUACUUCAUACCUUAGGCUACUGCAUGCCUCUGGUUUAGAAUUGGCUUCUACCCAAGACUAUGCUAUUGGCCCAGGGAAAAUAAAUAUGGCUGGGGCCUAUGCAGUCAGGACUUUGCUUUGCAUAGUUUUAGGGCUAUGCGUGCUGUCUUUGUAUCUCACAGUUAAGACCCCACCAGCAGAAAUUCAUUUUCAAAGAGGGGUGUUAAAAGAUGUGGUAUUAUUCAGAAAAGAAUGAUCUGCUGAGGGAGACUGUUGUUUUGAUUCCUCUAUAAUUUAUCUUUCAACAGAUGGCAGCCUGGAGAAGAAGCAAUAAACUAUGGCUUGCAAAUGUCAGGGCGUUGAUUCCCAAGGGUGGUGUCCAGACCGUCCUUGAUGAGGAACUAUUGUCAAACAUGAAUACUUUAGAGCCUGACUGAUUGUUUCUUACCUCUGAACACCCAGUCUACAGAAACUAAAUAAGUGCUGUUAGUUUGGGUCUCAGCUGUUCCCCAGGGACUGACAUCCCCAACCUGAGGUGCUCUUGUAAUGGGAUAGAACCUUUAGUGUGCAGAGCUGAGGUGUAGGAAGUCAUGUCACUGGAGAGACCCUGCCAUCUCCUCAAUCCUUCCUUGCUCAUUGCCCACCAUGAAGUGAGUGGCUUCCUUCCCUACCUACUCCCGCCAUGACAUUCUGGCCUGUUGCAGGCCUAAAGCAAAAGUCUAAGCAGCAAGUACAUGGAAUGACACCCUAAAAAACAGCAUGCUGGUUGGCUUGUGUCAAUUAGACACAAACCUAGACAUUUUGGGGGGAAUAGACUCUUAAUUGAGGAAAUGCCUUCAUACAAGUGGCCUGUAGGCAAGUUUGUAAGACAUUUUCUUGAGAUUCACAUACCCAUUGUGGGUACUACCAUUCCUGAAAUGGUAGCCCUGAUCGUAUAAGAAAGCAGGCAGAGGAAGCUGGGAUAAGCAAGUCAGUAAGGCAGUGUUCCUUCAUGGGUUAUGCUUCAGAGCCUGCCUUGCGUUCCUGCCCUAACUCCCUUUGAUGAUCGACUGUGAUACAAAAGUGUAAGUGAAAUAAACAUUUUCCUCCAUAAGUUGAUUUUGGCCCUGGUGCUUUAUCACAGCAGUAGAAAGCUUAACUAAACAAUGGUAAGUGGAUCACCUCAGGUAUUUCUGUUACCACUUGGAAAACAACAAGCAGAAGUACUCGGACCUUCUCUUGAAUAUCUGAAUUAAACUGGGGAGGAGAAACCUACCUUAUUUAAACCAACCAUACUAGACACGGAGGUCAGUAAUUAACCUGAAGGGUGUUUAAGGCUGGCUAGUGGUGUUCUGAGAUCUUCUCCUUGGGUCACCUUAUGUAGAGUCAAGAAGUACCUUUGAGUAAUCCUUUCCUGUAUGGGCAUUGUGCUAGGAGAAUAGGUAAAGGCCCUCCUGGGUUUUGACUGGUUAAAUUCUGGUGUUUGAGUACUUGUGCUGAAGGCCUGAGACCUAAACUUUCAUCUUGUGUCUUAUUGUCACCAAGUUUUAUUGAACCUUCUCCAUAGUUUUCGAUAGAUCUUUGGACCAUUUAUGCCAGGGGUUGAAUGGGAGUCCUUAACAUGGCUUGUGUCUUCUUUCUAUGAACUUUUGGCUUUGGCUUACCUCUGACUUGUCUUCCAAGGUUCAUGUGCUGGUGGCUUAGUCUCCACUGGAACACUGCAGAAAGCUGGAAGGACGUUAACAGUAUGAGGCAAGAAGUGGGUCUGGCUUGUUCACAUCUGUCGAGACACUGGUAUACAAGAAUGCCCUCGGUGUUUAAUUGCAGAAUAAGUCAAAGGGUGCCAGUUCAGUGGAGUAAAGAGAAAAAGAUUGGCUGAAGUCAUAAGCAACACAGCUGUGCUGGAGAAAAGUUGGUGGCAACCUGAGUGAUGGACACUGUGGGUGACAGAAGAUUGCUUUUGAGGGAGUAAGCUGUAUGAAGUGAGAAUAAACCUGCGGAGUUCCUCCCAUUGACUUAAUCCACUGGACUUCCUGUUUUCUGUGACGCACACCGUACAGAGGUGUGUGGCUCAUGACAGACAGACUCCUUGGGUCCGACACAGCUCAAUGAGUCAGAUCCAUUGAUUGGCCUUGGACCUGGGGUUCCCACCCAACCUCCUUUACACACUCCCUUCUCCUGACCUCCUCUUCCCACCAAGAGAAUGAACAAAGGCUAGAGGCUUAUAGCUCUGUGUCCCUAAGCACCUACAGGAAAAGAUGAUCUGAAACAACAUUUGUAGAAGGUCUGUGGGGAUGCAUACUUCCAUGGCCACCUUAAACACCCCCCCCCAAACACGCACACAUCUGGUGGCACCCAGCCAUGCAUGGUGCAGAAGCAGGGUCUUGGAAAUGUAUUCACAUGCUGGUGGCUGGUCUUUGGCCUCUUCAGUAAUGUUUUGUGGGACCUGGUAUCUCUGUCCCUUAGGCCUAUCACAUUGCAGUGACUGUGAUUAUAAAGGGCUGAUGAGCCUCUACAUAUGUGGCUAUGGUGGUAGGUGCUUUGUAAAAGUGAGGCUUCCGGGAGUUGCCCCCCAGUUUGCAGAAUCACUAGUGUGUUGGGCUGUGGCAGCUUUAGCUCUCUGAUCACUAGGUGGCUUGCACUGUGUGAACCAGAGGUCCUGCUCUGAAAUUCCCCGUGUGCACAGCCAUGCUUUGGGUCUCUCCCAUGAAGCAUGCCCAGGGGAUGGAUGGCCUGUGGACCACUCUACUCCAUGCUCAGGAGCUGAUGACCAACACAAAGUGGACUCUGUGUUUGUCUAUAUUUUUGCUUGUUGCUUAUUUUGUUUGUUUUGUUGUUGUUGUUCUUGUUUUUGUUCAUUUGUUUUGUUUUGUGUAUUUUGACAUUUGGUUUGGUGUGUAUGUGUGUGUUUAAAUCUUACUGAGUGUUUUGUUUUUGUUGGUUGGUUGGUUUUGAUUUUUGUUUUGAGACACAGAGAGAACAUUGUUGGGUAGAUAAAGAAGUGGGAAGGAUCUGGGAGGAGUUGGGCAUGGAAGAAUAUUAUCGAAAUAUAUUGUAUGGAAAAAUAAAUUAAAAUACAUUCUUCAAAGGAAAAAUAUAACACUCUGGGAAAUUCUG